rnacentral:rRNA from 1 species
GACGAACGCUGGCGGCGCGCUUAACACAUGCAAGUCGAACGGAGUGGCGAACGGGUGAGUAACACGUGGGUGAUCCGCCUUGCACUUCGGGAUAAGCUUGGGAAACUGGGUCUAAUACCGGAUAGUGCAAGAUGAGCUCGCGGCCAAUCGGCUUGUUGGUGGGGUAAUGGCCUACCAAGGCGUCGACGGGUAGCCGGCCUGAGAGGGUGUACGGCGACAUUGGGACUAAGAGACGGCGCAGACGCCUACAGGAGGCAGCGGGGGGGAAUAUUGCACAAUGGGCGGGAGCCUGAUGCAGCGACGCCGCGUGGGGGAUGAAGGCCUUCGGGUUGUAAACUCCUUUCGACAGGGACGCGGUACCUGUAUAAGAAGCACCGGCUAACUACGUGCCAGCAGCCGCGGUAAUAC